rnacentral:rRNA from 1 species
GUCCACGCAGUAAACGAUGCAGACUAGGCGUGGGGGACUUGACCCCCUCCGUGCCGUAGCUAACGCGUGAAGUCUGCCGCCUGGGGAGUACGGCCGCAAGGCUAAAAACUCAAAGGAAUUGACGGGGGCCCCGCACAAGCGGCGGAGCGUGCGGUUUAAUUCGACGCAACGCGUAGAACCUUACCAGGGUUUGACAUGCACCUGCAGAGCCGUGAAAGCGGUUGGCCUUAGAGGGUGGUGCACAGGUGCUGCAUGGCUGUCGU